CCUACGGGGGGCAGCAGUGAGGAAUAUUGGUCAAUGGUCGUGAGACUGAACCAGCCAAGUAGCGUGAAGGAUGACGGCCCUACGGGUUGUAAACUUCUUUUAUGCAGGAAUAAAAUGAGUCACGUGUGCCUUUUUGUAUGUACUGUAUGAAUAAGGACCGGCUAAUUCCGUGCCAGCAGCCGCGGUAAUACGGAGGGUACGGGCGUUAUCCGGAUUUAUUGGGUUUAAAGGGUGCGUAGGCGGAAUGUUAAGUGUGCGGUGAAAUUCAGUGGCUCAACCCUUUCACGGCGGUGGGAACUGGCGUGCUUGAGUGGGCGGAACGUAUGCGGAAUGCGUGGUGUAGCGGUGAAAUGCAUAGAUAUCACGAAGAACCCCGAUUGCGAAGGCAGCAUGCGGGAUUCCUACUGACGCUGAAGCACGAAAGCGUGGGGAUCGAACAGGAUUAGAUACCCCAGUAGUC
rnacentral:rRNA from 1 species